GGAAACUCGAAAGAGGACAAUAUCUACUAGCGGUGGCUUGGGCUGUUACAAAUGGUAUCAAAGUCACACACCGAGCGAUGUACCAACGAGGAAGCUGAUGUCAACAAAUACAGAUGGAUUGUGAGAUCCGAUAAUAGUUGG